rnacentral:rRNA from 1 species
UACGUAGGGCGCAAGCGUUGUCCGGAAUUAUUGGGCGUAAAGGGCGCGUAGGUGGCCCGCUAAGCGUGCGGUGAAAGUCGGGGGCUCAACCCCCGAUCGGCCGUGCGAACUGGGAGGCUUGAGCACUGUAGAGGCAGGCGGAAUUCCGGGUGUAGCGGUGGAAUGCGUAGAGAUCCGGAAGAACACCGGUGGCGAAGGCGGCCUGCUGGGCAGUUUUGCUGACACUGAGGCGCGACAGCGUGGGGAGCAAACAGG